AAGAAUUUUUAAGGUAUUUUUUGUCAUAUUAUUUUUAUAGAAUUUCACAAAAAAUAAUUUUUUUUCAUUACUUUUAACUUAAUUUUAUGUAUUGGCAGGGAGCAAUAGGUGCACUAGAUGGGACAUUAGUACAUGAUGUUAUUCCAGCUAAUCAACAGAUUGUUUACAAAGGAAGAGGAAAGGGUAGAUGUUAUCAAAAUGUUUUGGCAAUAUGUGACUUUGAUAGGUUUUAAAUGUUCUUGCCUUAUGUUUUGACGAUCUAACAAACUUACUGUUAAGAACCAGAUAGGGAACCUGAACUACUCGGACUAUACUGCAAGUUUAACGAAUUUCAGCUAUAGGUGAACUGCUACAGCUUCAGGAGCUAAGAACCCAAACAAGGAACUGAUACCCUUGUGGUUUCCUCAUCACAGUACAAAGUCAAUUGGUCACAGCUGGAAAUGAAGUGACUGAUUGUACUAUUUCUGUCGCACUGCACUGUCCAGCGCCCAUUCAUUCUCUGACCAACUAAAGUGCUCACAUCAUUUCAAGUGAUGUGAUCAAGGUGUAUCUACAAUGAGUUUACACAAAAUAUCACUUGAAUGUUUCAGUUUCUUAUUCAAGUUUCUAGCCAA
rnacentral:lncRNA from 1 species